CUUGUGCAAAACCUAGAGGAGAGCGAGAACAUGGCAUGCUCAGGAAAGAACACGUUGUUCACAGCGGCUGGAGUGUGGAGCUUAAGGAGCGGAUGGGUAGAGAUAAAACCAAAGCAGGAGGCAGGAGCCAGGAGCCAGACCAGGAGGAGUCUCCAGAGCCAUGGCUUAGGGCCUGCUCCCAAGGAUGCCUAAAAUUCCACUGGCAAAACUUGCUGGAGGUGAUGCAGAGACAGUGUCUGAGGUCGUCACCGACUCCCUGCUGCUGCAACAGCACAACCUGACACGUUCUUCUUUAAGAUUCCUUCUCCACACCAAGGCCACUAAUAUAUACUGAGUGGCCAGAUUAUUAUGACCACCUGACGUUUGUAGGCAAGUUAACUAUAA